rnacentral:lncRNA from 1 species
UGCAUUAACCACUUUUACCCUCAUCAUUAAUGAGAGGUAAAAGACAUUUAUAACCUUUUCAUUAACUUUGACAAAAAAAACAUAUGGUUAACUAAUCUAAACUUAAAACAUCAACUCUAAAUCCUAAAUCAUUAACCCUAAACCCUAAAACAUGAAAGAUCAACUCUAAACUCUAAACCCCGAAACAUAAACUCUAAACCCUAAACCUAAAAAUCUAAACCCUAAAACAUCAACUCUAAACCCUAAACGUAAACCCUAAACCCUAAAUCUAAACUUAAAACAUCAACUUUAAACCCUAAAUCAUCAACUCUAAACCCUAAACCAUAAAACAUCAACUCUAAACCUUAAACCCCAAAAAAUCAACUCUAAACUCUAAACCCUAAACCUUUCAAAUCUAAACCUUAAAACAUCAACUCUAAACCCUAAACCCUAAACUCUAUAUUUUUCUGAAAUUCGAACCUUAAACCCUAAAACCAGAAACCUUCAAAUCUAAACCCUAAAACAUCAACUCUAAACC